GCCAGCAGCCAUGUCACUCUGCAACUCACCACUGGCAACCCACUGAAGCUCAGCAGGUGUGAGCCUGGUCAGUACCUGGAUGGGAGACCUCCUGGGAAAAACUAAGGCUGCUGCCC
rnacentral:rRNA from 1 species